AGCGAACGCUGGCGGCAGGCUUAACACAUGCAAGUCGAACGCCCCGCAAGGGGAGUGGCAGACGGGUGAGUAACACGUGGGAACGUACCCUUUGGUUCGGAAUAACUUGGGGAAACUCAAGCUAAUACCGGAUAAGCCCUUAUGGGGAAAGGUUUACUGCCUAAGGAUCGGCCCGCGUCUGAUUAGCGAGUUGGUGAGGUAAUGGCUCACCAAGGAGACGAUGAGUAGCUGGUCUUAGAGGAUGAUCAGGCACACUGGGACUGAGACACGGCCCAGACUCCUACGUGAGGCAGCAGUGGUGAAUAUUGGAAAAUGGGGGCAACCCUGAUCCAGCCAUGCCGCGUGAGUGAUGAAGGCCUUAGGGUUGUAAACCGCUUUCAGUAGGGAAGAAGCGAAAGUGACGGUCCCUACAAAAGAAGCACCGGCUAACUAUGUGCCAGCCGCCGCCGUAA
rnacentral:rRNA from 1 species